rnacentral:rRNA from 1 species
CGGGACGGGUGAGUAAUGUCUAGGGAAACUGCCUGAUGGGGAGGGGGAAUCACUGGAAACGGUAGCUAAUACCGCAUAACGUCGCAAGACCAAAGAGGGGGACCUUCGGGCCUCUUGCCAUCGGAUGUGCCCAGAUGGGAUUAGCUAGUAGGUGGGGUAACGGCUCACCUAGGCGACGAUCCCUAGCUGGUCUGAGAGGAUGACCAGCCACACUGGAACUGAGACACGGUCCAG